UGCGAGGUGGAGCAGGCUGGUAGCUCGUCGGGCUCAUAACCCGAAGGUCGGAGGUUCAAAUCCUCCCCUCGCUACCA
rnacentral:tRNA from 1 species